UGACAGCAUCCAGGUUGUCAUCUGUGCAAA
rnacentral:piRNA from 1 species